UCCAAGUGGCCAGAGAAAUAGCCCCUUGUACCAGCCGCUGGGGUCAUUUUGCAUUGGGGGAGAAGCCACCAGUUUCAGGAGCUGGGACAGCAUCUGCUUUGAGGGCUCUGAGGGCAGAGUAGCCACAGUGAGACCUUUUGUGGUCUGGGCCCCUAUAACACUCCGUGGGAGGGACCUGUUAUCGCACUGGGGGACAUGACUAGAAAUCCUCACCCUACCACUGGAUUUCUAAGUCAGGGCCACUGAGCAGUGUACCUCCAGUUAACUUGGAAGACUGACAACCCCAUAUGGGUGGAUUUCUUCUUCCAGAGAAAAAAAUUAAAGGUGCUGCAGUCCCUUAUACAGGAGCAGGUGUCCAAGGGUUGUAUAGUUCUAUCUGUUAUCCCUUGGAACAUGCCUGUCUUCAUUAUUCAAAAACCAGGCAAGGACAGGUGGUGGUUCCUGCAAGACUUACGAAAGAGCAAUGAGGUUACUGAGGGUAAAGGUCCCUUCCAGCCUGGCCUGCCCACAGCCUCUGUGAUUCCCCAAGACUGGCAGAUGGUGGUCAUCAACCUGAAGGACUAUUUUUUUAAUCUCCUGCUCCAGACAGAUGAUGCCCCCAAUUUGUGUUCUCAGUCCCAUCCCUAAAUAGACAGGCACCUCUGCAAUAAUACCGUAACAGUCUUGCCACAAGGCAUGAAGAACCCACCAACAAUCUGCCAGUGGUUUGUGGCCCGAAUCUUGUCCUCUGUUAGGAGGAAAUACCCCAGUGCAAUCAUCCUCCACUACAUGGAUGACAUUCUCAGCAGUGCAGGGACUCGUUUCCUGUUAGACUGUGCUCUUCAAGAUGUCACGGAAACUGUACAGAGCAGGGGGUUUGAGAUUGCUGAGAAGAUCCAGCACACCACUCUGUGGAAGUGCCUUGGCCUCACAGUUGCAGAGAGGAUCAUCAUGCCCCAGCCUCUACAGAUCAAGGAUGACCCCAGGACCCUCUGAGAUCUGCACUGUCUCUUCAGGAGCACCAACUGGGUUCGUCCACUGCUGGGGAUCGGUACCAAGGACCUCACACCGCUCUUCCAGCUCUUGAAGGGUGAUGAGGAUGUCGAUGCUCCAUGAUCCCUAACACCAGAGGCCAGGGCGCUGGUAGAACAGUUUGGUGCCAAAACCUAAGAAGUUCAAUUCCAUUAAAGGCUCUGACUGCCUUCACCGAUGGAUCUGGGAGUUCCAUAACUCUGCCAUCACCUGGAAGGACCAGGACCUGGCUACACAGCAGAAGGGAGUCAAACAUUGAAAUCGUCCGUGGGUCUCCUCAGAUCACCAAAUUAGCAGCAAUGGGGCAGGCCCAAGGUGGAUCCCAGCAAAUAAUAUAAAACCAUUUAUCAAACUUAUAAAGCCAACAUCAGGACAAUGGCCAGAGGAAGCAGAAGAAAAGACAAAUAACACUGAGGAGGCCUGGAAGAGCAGGAGAAGCAAAAAGAUCAUCCACAAAAAAAGAGCCCCAUGGCAGAGGAGAUGGCAUUGGACUAUACCACCUACUCAGAAAUUUCCCACCGAACUGAAACUGUGUGACUAGACAAUCCCAUUCAUGUUUUGUCACAGAGUUUUUGGAG